ACCCUCCUGAUUCUGCACCCAGCCAGGCCCAACACUGGUCUGAGUGGUUAUAAACGGAGGAAAAGUAAAACUGAACCGGACUUCAAUUCUCGCGUGACACAUGA
rnacentral:snoRNA from 1 species